AGGGCGAGGGGUCGGACGGGGGGAGCCGGCCGCCGCCGUCGCAUUCCAGCGGGACUAUUUCCCGCGUUGUUUCGCACGCACGCCUCCGCCGCCUUUUUGGGUGCGAUGCGGUUGUCGGAGCAACACCGGCCCGGGAGGGACGGGACUACUUUCAGUCACAGAGCGGUGGCGGCUGCACAAAGGCGGCCGCUCCCCUUCGCCCGCAGGUGAGGGCUGCCCGGCCGCGCUCCCCCUCCGUCCCUUUCGGCCGCUGCACGGCGGCGGUUCCCGAGUGAAGGGCGGGCUGCGGCGCCACAGCCUUUCCACGGGAGUUUCUGCGGAGCUGCCCCGUGGGCAAAGCUACUUCAGUAUUUCUGCGAGGAACGUCACAUCUCACGGGGCAUCCCUCCUCUCCUCCCGCAACGUGACAGCUGUUCCGAGGGAUGAGGCUGCGAGGCAGAGCGACUUAAAGCAAAAUUUGAGAUCCUCGCGUGCAGAAAAGAUGCUGCCUGGUGUCCAGGAUGAGAACUGCAUUUCUUUGUGGCUGAAAAAAUCCUUACAACAAAAACUUCACAGAGAAGGUCCUGGAGUUCAGCAGAGCAUAGGGGAGAGUUUGGACUCCUGCUGAUGGUGUAUCCAAGAUCAGGCUGUUUAUCUACUGCUUCUUUUCUCCUCUUCCAUCUCCCAGGGAGUUGAAAACAACACUGCCUCAGGAUAUGCUUCUUCAGCUGUAGUACUUUCAGCGUGAACUGUAUAGGAUUCUGAUUUUAAUUUGGCACUGCCCACCAGGCCACAGGGCAAGUCCAGUACUUUCCUUAUGAAAGCCACAUAGCCGUGGCUGUAUUUCAAAGCUAAAUUAUAAAAAGUCAUUUUAGAAAGUUUGAGUGCUAAAAUUUGUAAAGACCUGUAAUGCUAGGUUGAUACAGCUAAAACAUCCUUUCAAAAGAGAUUUCAUUUCAGACUGACAGAUACCAAAACACUAUUUUAUUUUAGUUUGCAAAGAUUUUCAAAAACAGACAGCAUCUGGGUUCUAUUAACAACAACAUGCAUGCAUUUUAAACAACAACAAUUUAAGAAUACUUC
ensembl:lncRNA